CUGACGCAGCGACGCCGCGUGGAGGAUGACGCCCUUCGGGGUGUAAACUCCUGUUGCCCGGGACGAAUGCCUGUUUCGACAGGAGUGACGGUACCGGGUGAGGAAGCACCGGCUAACUCUGUGCCAGCAGCCGCGGUAAUACAGAGGGUGCGAGCGUUGUCCGGAAUCACUGGGCGUAAAGGGCGCGUAGGCGGUCGGGUAAGCGUGUGGUGAAAGUCCGGGGCUCAACCCCGGAUCGGCCAUGCGAACUGUCCGACUGGAGCACGGUAGAGGCACAUGGAAUUCCGGGUGUAGCGGUGGAAUGCGUAGAGAUCCGGAAGAACACCGGUGGCGAAGGCGGUGUGCUGGGCCGUAGCUGACGCUGAGGCGCGACAGCGUGGGGAGCAAACAGGAUUAGAUACCCUGGUAGUCCACGCCGUAAACGAU
rnacentral:rRNA from 1 species